rnacentral:rRNA from 1 species
GACGAACGCUGGCGGCGUGCUUAACACAUGCAAGUCGAACGGAAAGGCCCUGCUUUUGUGGGGUGCUCGAGUGGCGAACGGGUGAGUAACACGUGAGUAACCUGCCCUUGACUUUGGGAUAACUUCAGGAAACUGGGGCUAAUACCGGAUAGGAGCUCCUGCUGCAUGGUGGGGGUUGGAAAGUUUCGGCGGUUGGGGAUGGACUCGCGGCUUAUCCGCUUGUUGGUGUGGUAGUGGCUUACCAAGGCUUUGACGGGUAGCCGGCCUGGGAGGGUGACCGGCCACAUUGGGACUGAGAGACGGCCCAGACUCCUACGGGAGGCAGCAGUGGGGAAUAUUGCACAAUGGGCGGAAGCCUGAGGCAGCAACGCCGCGUGCGGGAUGACGGCCUUCGGGUUGUAAACCGCUUUCGCCGGUGACGAAGCGUGAGUGACGGUAAUGGGUAAAGAAGCACCGGCUAACUACGUG